CUGACACCUCUUUUCUGGCUCAAAGUGGAUUGUGGACUACAUCAACACAAUGCAGUCUGAGGAGAUUUGGCCUUGUUCUGCUUUGAGAGACAAAACAGAGUCCAGGUGUUGAGACAAGAAGUAAAGAUUCAGAGUUGGUUUC